CCUACGGGGGGCAGCAGUGAGGAAUAUUGGUCAAUGGACGCGAGUCUGAACCAGCCAAGUAGCGUGAAGGAUGACUGCCCUAUGGGUUGUAAACUUCUUUUAUAUGGGAAUAAAACGUUCCACGUGUGGGAUUUUGUAUGUACCAUAUGAAUAAGGAUCGGCUAACUCCGUGCCAGCAGCCGCGGUAAUACGGAGGAUCCGAGCGUUAUCCGGAUUUAUUGGGUUUAAAGGGAGCGUAGGUGGAUUGUUAAGUCAGUUGUGAAAGUUUGCGGCUCAACCGUAAAAUUGCAGUUGAAACUGGCAGUCUUGAGUACAGUAGAGGUGGGCGGAAUUCGUGGUGUAGCGGUGAAAUGCUUAGAUAUCACGAAGAACUCCGAUUGCGAAGGCAGUUCACUGGACUGCAACUGACACUGAGGCUCGAAAGUGUGGGUAUCAAACAGGAUUAGAUACCCCAGUAGUC
rnacentral:rRNA from 1 species